UGCUCUGUGGCUUGGUGAUUAAAGCACUGAACUUGAAACUAAAGAGAUGUAGGUUCAAACCCUUUCUUGGCAG
rnacentral:tRNA from 1 species